CCUACGGGUGGCAGCAGUGGGGGAUAUUGCACAAUGGGGGAAACCCUGAUGCAGCGACGCCGCGUGGGUGAAGAAGCGCCUCGGCGCGUAAAGCCCUGUCAGCAGGGAAGAAAAUGACGGUACCUGAAGAAGAAGCACCGGCUAACUACGUGCCAGCAGCCGCGGUAAUACGUAGGGGGCAAGCGUUAUCCGGAUUGACUGGGUGUAAAGGGGGCGCAGACGGGGAAGCAAGACAGGAGUGAAAGCCCAGGGCCUAACCCCGGGACUGCACUUGAAACUGCGUGGCUAGAGUGCAGGAGGGGCAGGCGGAAUUCCUGGUGUAGCGGUGAAAUGCGUAGAGAUCAGGAGGAACACCGGUGGCGAAGGCGACCUGCUGGACUGCAACUGACGUUGAGGCCCGAAAGCGUGGGGAGCAAACAGGAUUAGAUACCCCAGUAGUC
rnacentral:rRNA from 1 species